rnacentral:rRNA from 1 species
CCUACGGGAGGCAGCAGUGAGGAAUAUUGGACAAUGGGCGCAAGCCUGAUCCAGCCAUGCCGCGUGCAGGAAGAAGCAUCUAUGGUGUGUAAACUGCUUUUGUACAGGAAGAAACACUCCCUCGUGAGGGAGCUUGACGGUACUGUAAGAAUAAGGACCGGCUAACUCCGUGCCAGCAGCCGCGGUAAUACGGAGGGUCCGAGCGUUAUCCGGAAUCAUUGGGUUUAAAGGGUCCGUAGGCGGUUUAAUAAGUCAGUGGUGAAAUCUGGUCGCUCAACGAUCCAACGGCCAUUGAUACUGUUAGACUUGAAUUAUAAGGAAGUAACUAGAAUAUGUAGUGUAGCGGUGAAAUGCUUAGAUAUUACAUGGAAUACCAAUUGCGAAGGCAGGUUACUACUUAUGGAUUGACGCUGAUGGACGAAAGCGUGGGGAGCGAACAGGAUUAGAUACCCUGGUAGUCCACGCCGUAAACGAUAGGAUACUAGCUGUUCGGAGCAACCUGAGUGGCUAAGCGAAAGUGAUAAGUAUCCCACCUGGGGAGUACGUUCGCAAGAAUGAAACUCAAAGAGUAAGUGACGUGNGAGAGACGACGACGACGACGACGGAGGGAGGAGG